UUUACCUGGUCGGUGAUAUCAUCAGAAAAAGAGGUAAGAAGAAAUAGGUGGACAACACAGUCAAGGCAUAUAAUAGAAUUCAUCACUGCCAGAGGAACAUCAUCAAUGAUUCCACUCAUUAGAAGGAAAAGUGAACAGUUAAUGAAAGAGACGAAGAUGUAAAUGAUUUCAAUCGUCAGGUAGAUACCGAAGCAACAAUUGAUAUUGCGGAUCGAGUUGCAGACCAAGCGAUGGUGACGUCUGAGAAUAUUUAACUGACGACAUUGUAUUUUCACUAGCACGGGACUAGCAGGAUUAGGCUGGUUUAGCUGGUCAUUAAUGCCCUUCCGAAUAGCUCCAAGCUGGAGAGAUAAAUUUUGGGCUAGAAUGCAAAAGAAGGUAAGCUGAGUAGCUGGGUAGAUUUUAGUGAAAAGACCAGCUACAUCCAAUAUUUUUCGUAACCAGGUAAUAUCGAUUGAGGUGAAAAGAAGGAGGAAAAGGAUUUCCAAGGACAAUAUCUGUUUUUAAACGUCCUAUAGCUCAUUAGAUGGGCCGAAAUUAAUUCGCAACUGAAAAAAAUAAUUUACCGCAAAAAUUACGUAGAAGAAUAUUUUGAUUGCAAGAUUCCUGCAUGUAGGGUAAAUAUCAAAAGAUGGCAGAUUCUCUUCCAACCGCUUGAAAGAACACAUGAGAUCUUUCCAAGCGUCAGACCGACAGAGCACCAAGAAAGAAACUUGGCAACCGACCGUGUACACGGUAAUAUUCAAAUUUUCACUAAUUAAAUUCCACGUCAAAGUCAACGUUGAAAUUCCAUUCAUGUAAGAUGCCGACACCGUCUUUGCAUUGCAAACCGUAUGGAUUAGCAGGCUUGACUGAACCAGCAAUAGUAUCAUGAAAGCAAGGAUGUGAUAGAAAUUCUUUGCGUAUUGACAGGUAGAAACAUCAAAUGGAGAUGGAAUUCCAAGAAAACACAUCCAUUUUAUUACAGGUUUUACACUCCACUUGAAAUCUUUGGGUUCUACGUUGGCUUCAAGAUUUUGCUCGAAUUGAUUCCCGUGAACUGGCUGUAUUUUGACUGAACGAGACGGAGACAUCUCUUUACUACAGGACCUUAAUCGAUCGUGUAGAUCCUGUCAUCUAACGAUAUAAUGAUUAUAUCUGCUAGAGCUAAGCACUUUGAUAAUUGCAAUGGGAAAUUCAUUGGGUCCACUUGAUGAUCUUUACAUUACGCAUUUGCCGAUGAACCGUCAACUCGUACAGAAAACUACGGAAUUCUAUUUUCAUGAGUCCGUUAAAGGUAUUUUGUUUUGUAUUGCACUACAUCGAUUAUAAUUGAACAUUGCUACUAAAUGUGGGUGAUGGCAAUGAAAUCAGCUUUCUUCUUUUUCAGCAGACUGAAACUGCAGAAAAAUAAUGAAGUAGGCUACGUCAAUGUCGUUCCAAUCAGCUGUUAAAACAAAAUGUUUAACCCAUUACGGCAAACAAUUUACAAAUAACGUAAAAGUUGAGGUUGUAUCGUGGGAAAUAAAGAUUUGCUCACUCUGAAGAACCCCAUGGCAUUUAUUUCCAAUUUCAGGUGUGACAACUGAUCUGUGAACAAGGUAAAAUACAAUGAAUGGCAGAUAUAGUUUUAAAGUUUAAAAUGGUUUUGUUAAAUAAUUAUUGACCCUUUUACCUCGUUUUGUAGUGACGGUUCCUGGUAGAGUAAAUCAGCCAAUGCGUUAUAAAUCUUAUCAAUCUAUUUGAAAGCAAAAGAUUUUAGCUUAGUUUUCUGCAUCGAAGGUGGCAUUUUCA